GCUGAUGGACAGAGAGAGGCAGCGGCGUCACAGAGAGAGGGUCCGUGCUGACCCUGAGAAACAGCAGGCCUACCGGGAGAGGGAAAGACAAAGGUACCAACGUAGGAAGAAUAUGGUCAUUGCUCUUCCAGAGCAAAUGACAGCAGAAUCCCAGAGCCAUGGCUUGAGUGACACAGAAUAUCAAACUGGGCCAACCGUUAAGGAUCACUCUCAUCCAAAUAACUACGCCUUCCAAGACAUGUCACAGAAUUCAGACACGGAAACAGGCAACAUGGCACAAACGGAUAACAUGGUGACGAAAAGGCCAACUCCUGAGGCUGAUAUUGUUGACACCAGACAGCAGAUAAAAGAGAUGAAUCCAGUCAGCCGUCUGUUGCGUGUUACAGAAAAAGAGACUCAGGAACACAUAUUCUCCACCCAACACAGAGCUGGUGUGUUUGGGUCACAGGAUGUCAACUAUUAUUUUGUACAACAAAAUGGGGACCUGUGCUCACUUUCAAGGUUUAAAAAGAGAUUGAUGGACCGAGAGAGACAGCAGCUACAGAGAACGGAUCCGCUCCAACCCUGUGAAGCAGUCUGAUGAUGAAAAGGAAAGACGAAGGUUCAUGGACAGAGAGAGGCAGCGACGACGGAGGGAGAGGAUGCGUGCUGAGCCUGACCAGCAGCAGUCCUGCGCAGAGAGGGACAGACAAAGGUUGUUGGAUAGAGAAAGGCAACGACGCUGCAGACAGAGGCUUCAAGCGGACCCUGUGAGGUGGCAAGCUUACCUGGAGAAGGAGCGGUGCAGGUCCAGGGAGGCAGCCAGGAGAAGCCGGGCUAAGAAGUCUCUGGCCAAGGCCCUGACAGGCUGGAUAUCAGAUUGGGGGCAAGGAAGGCAGUAAGGACACCUAGUAGUAGACGUUCCCUUCAAAAUGGUCACUCAUGGUAGGGGGUUUGUGGUGAAGGGAGAAAGGAGACACCUCACCAGGCGGGGCAGGUCAACUGGCCCCUGACACCAGAGCAGAACUUCUUGGUGGGACAGUCAUAGCACAUAAGGACUUCAUCACAGAGUUUCUUAGCAGUACCAUGACGUAAAAAGCCCUGCCCUACUCAGGAGUUUAUGCCUUUUUCAUCUUUUUUAUUCAGAUUUCUUGUCAUUGCUUUGGUAUGGGCUGUAGUUUAGAAACAUUCUUCAGAAGUGCUGAAGUAUUAUUUAUUGCAUAAUUAGUUUUGUUAUAUAUUAGGUGUCAAUGGAAUUUGACUGUGAUGUGCUCAUGUUGAAUUUGGUCUUUAAAUGUUUAACUUUCGAAAAAGAGUUUUUAGCAUGAAGGUGAUAACUGAAAGGUGAUAACUAAUAUUACAAAUAAAUGUAUCAUUUGAUGA